ensembl:lncRNA
AGAGGAAUAGAACAGAAAUAGAGGAAUAGAACAGAAAUAGAGGAAUAGAACAGAAAUAGAGGAAUAGAACAGAAAUAGAGGAAUAGAACAGAAAUAGAGGAAUAUAAUAGAAAUAGAGGAAUAUAAUAGAAAUAGAGGAAUAGAACAGAAAUAGAGGAAUAGAACAGAAAUAGAGGAAUAGAACAGAAAUAGAGGAAUAGAACAGAAAUAGAGGAAUAGAACAGAAAUAGAGGAAUAGAACAGAAAUAGAGGGGAAAGGGGUAUGAAGGAAAGACAGAAAAAGAGAAGCAAAGUAGGAGUGGUUAUGAAGCAUGCAAACAGCUCCUUUGUGUGUGUGUGUGUGUGUGUGCGCGCAUAUGCGUGUUAGUCAAUGAGAGAGAGGUGAGAUUUCAAGAGAGAGUGAGCAGCUGUUGUGCAGCGUUUAGCCUAGUGAGGAGAAGGUGCAAGAAACACAACGGUAGAGCAACCAUCAAAUCUGGGGUACAUUCAGAGACGACAAGCAGGUUCCCAACGAGUCUUAUCAACGUUGUCCUGUACUGUGCAGUGAGGUUGCUCUCCUGUUGACGUGUUAGAUGGAACCAGGCAGACUGAGGUGGUUAGUAUUGGCUUAAAGCACUAACAUUAGUAACCCAAAAACCAUUGAAUCGCAUUUCAAUAAUGCCAUUGAUUUAGCCGUAGGUUAUGUGUGCGUGUGUGUGUGUGUGUGUGUGCGUGUGUGGGUGUGUGUGUGUGUGUUGAAGGUGAACGACAGGAUAAACAGACACAGAGAGUUUGACACAGGAACACACACGCACACCUGAUUCAACGAAUCCAUUAACCACCCAGCGAUGGUGUGCGUUAGUGCUGGGACAAACCAAAAACAUGCACACUCUAAAGUCCUCAAGGACCAGCGAGUAGAGAACACUGGUCUAUACACUGUUAUACCGACACACACACACGCACACACACGCACACGCACGCACGCACACGCACGCGCACACACACACACACACACAGUAGGUAUCCAUAAACCGACCGAAAAUGAGAAAUUAAUAUGUUCUUCUCUCUCAUCCCGAUGGACAGACAGGACAGAAAGACAGGAUGGAAAGACAGGACAGAAAGACAGGACAGAAAGACAGGACAGAAAGACAGGACAGAAAGACAAGACAGAAAGACAGGAUGGAAAGACAGGAUGGAAAGACAGGACAGAAAGACAGGACGGAAAGACAGGACGGAAAGACAGGACGGAAAGACAGGACGGAAAGACAGGACAGAAAGACAAGACAGAAAGACAGGACAGAAAGACAGGACGGAAAGACAGGACGGAAAGACAGGAUGGAAAGACAGGACGGAAAGACAGGAUGGAAAGACAGGACGGAAAGACAGGACGGAAAGACAGGACGGAAAGACAGGACGGAAAGACAGGACGGAAAGACAGGAUGGAAAGACAGGACGGAAAGACAGGACGGAAAGACAGGACGGAAAGACAGGAUGGAAAGACAAGACGGAAAGACAGG